rnacentral:rRNA from 1 species
CCUACGGGUGGCAGCAGUGGGGAAUAUUGCGCAAUGGGCGAAAGCCUGACGCAGCGAAGCCGCGUGAGGGAUGAAGGUCUUCGGAUCGUAAACCUCUGUCAGCAGGGAAGAACGGUCACUGUGCUAAUCAGCAGUGCAUUGACGGUACCUGCAAAGGCAGCACCGGCUAACUCCGUGCCAGCAGCCGCGGUAAUACGGCGGGUGCGAGCGUUAAUCGGAAUUACUGGGCGUAAAGCGCUCGUAGGCGGUAUGUCAAGUCACGGGUGAAAUCCCCGCGCUCAACGUGGGAACUGCCUUUGAAACGGGCAAACUGGAGUGUGUGAGAUGAUAGUGGAAUUCCAGGUGUAGGAGUGAAAUCCGUAGAUAUCUGGAGGAACAUCAGUGGCGAAGGCGACUAUCUGGCACAUAACUGACGCUGAGGAGCGAAAGCGUGGGUAGCAAACAGGAUUAGAUACCCUGGUAGUC